rnacentral:rRNA from 1 species
GAAAGCUGGCUCCCAAGCCAUCUGGUGGAUGGCUUGGUUCGGGUAGCGAUGAAGGUCGUGGCAAGCUGCGAUAAGCCGCGAGGAGACGCACGCAGUCUUAGAUUCGCGGAUUACCGAAUGUCACAUAACAUUGGGCUGAAGGCCCAAUAUUCUGGCUUUUAAGCCAGAAGGCGCACGCGGGGAAUUGAAACAUCUUAGUACCCGCAGGAAAAGAAAUCAACAUGAGAUACGGUGAGUAGGGGCGACCGAAAACCGUAGAGGGCAAACCGAAUGCCUUAGCGAAAAGUUAAGGCAGAUGUGGAGUAUGGGAUGAGAGUACAGCUUAACUUGUCGAGCCGAAGUCCCUUGGAAUAGGGCGCUAUAGAGGGUGAUAGCCCCGUAGGCAAAGACAAGAAAGCUGAUUUCUCAUUUCCCGGAGUACGAUUGGUUGAAUUUCCAGUCGGAAGAUGGGGGUCAUCUACCUCCAACCCUAAAUAUAACCCGAAACCGAUAGCGGACUAGUACCGUGAGGGAAAGCUGAAAAGAAGGGAUAAAACCCAGUGAAAAGAUCCUGAAACCAGAUGGCUAUAGUUAGAUGGUAUAAGUUCUUAGCUUAAAGCUAAGGAUGAAGCCAUCGUCCGUUUCGAAAAACGGGCCAGGGAGUUUAUACCUAUGGCGAGGCGAAAGCCGAAGCGAAAGCAAAAGUAACGCAGGGCUUUAUAGCCUGAGGUUACUCCGUACGAAAGUGCGGCAAGUCAUAGGUAUAAGACCAGAAGCCAGGUGAUCUACUCCUGGGCAAGGUGAAGUUCCCCGAAAGGGGAAUGGAAGCCUGAAGGGGUGCUGGUAUCACAUCCGCUCCUCUGACCUGGGAGUAGGGGUGAAAGGCCAAACGAACCUGGCGAUAGCUGGUUCCUCCCGAAAUGAGUCUCAGCUCAGCCCUACCCGAGUGUGUUAUGGGGUAGAGUUACUGAUUACAUGAGUAAGGGGAGAAAUCCCCGCUCAUGUUGUCAAACUCCGAAUCCAUAACACAUGUAGAAGGUAGGAGUGAGGGUAUCUGGAGUAAUUUUGUUACCCAAGAGGGAAACAACCCAGACCGAAGUUAAGGUCCUUAAGUGCCAGCUAAGUGUAACGAAAGUAGUUUCACACCUAAAACAACAGGGAGGUUGGCUUAGAAGCAGCCAUCCUUUAAACAACGCGUAACAGCGGACCUGUCUAGGUGUGAAGCGCUGAAAGUUGGUUGAAGGAGGUAGAUAAAAAUGGGUAAAAAGAAAAAAACAGAAGAAACUGAAAAAUAGACUAUGAAAAACAAUUUAAAUAAAAUUUGAAGUAAUUUACUUUUUAUUUUUUGUCUUGUUAUUUUUCAUCCUUCAACUAACCAGUAAAAUGGACGGGGCUAAGCUGGCCACCGAGGCUUCGGAUCACUUUUGCAUAUAGCAAAAGUGAUGGUAGGGAGGCGUCCUGAGAGGGUCGAAGCCUUCUCGUAAGAGAGGGUGGACCUCUCUGGAAUGAGAAUCCUGGUGGGAGUAGCAGCAAAAGUUGGGUGAAAAACCCAACCACCUACUCGGCAAGGGUUUCUCACCAAUGUUAAUCAGGUGAGAGUUAGCCGAUCCUAACCUAAGUCAUAACUUGACCUUAGGGAAAGGGAAACCGGUUAAUAUUCCGGUGCCACUUAAGUUUCAAUGAAACAUAGAUAGAUGCUUCAAGAUAAUCCGACUAUCGCCAUCGCGAUAGUCAAGCACAGAACCUCAGGGAGUCUCGUCAUGAGGAGAACUGAGGGAAUGUGUUAUGAGGCCUGCUUAAGCAGGUUUCGGACGAUUCUUGGAGCCCAUGAAAAUAUCUAUGCUAGAGAACUUAAGUGAUCGUACCCAGAACCGACACAGGUGCCUUUGCUGAGUAGGCAAAGGUGUCUGGGAGAAUCCAACCCAGGGAAUUCGGCAAAUUGGUCCAGUAAGUUCGCGAGAAUGGAUGCCUGCUCCUCUCUGAAAAAGGGAACGAGCAGGUCGCAGUGACAAGGGAGGUCCGACUGUUUAAUAAAAACAUAGCCGACCGCAAAGUGGUAACGCUUUGUAUGGUCGGUGAAUCGUGGCCACUGGCAGUGUGUGAAAGCUCCUUCCAAGGAGCCCAAGCCCUGCUGUAGGCCGGCGGUAACUCUGACCGUCUUAACUGGAUGGUCAAUUGAGCACAGCAAUGAUAAGACCACUAGGGACUUAGGUAGCGUAAUCCCUUGCCGUUUAAUUGACGGCCUGCAUGAUUGAUCAACGAGAUCUCCACUGUCCCGGGUUGGAACCCAGCGAAACCAGCUUUCUGGCGAUUAGGCCAGAGACCCCCAGUGGGAAGAAGAGACCCCGUAGAGCUUUACUGCAGUCUGCUGUUGUGAUACUUUCAAGAUUGCAUAGUGUAGGCAGGAGUCAUCGAGACAGCUCUUUCGGGAGCUGUGGAGGCGACAAUGUAACACUGCCCUAUCUUGAUAGUAUCGCUCAUCUCUUGAGAGAGAAACAGCAGCAGAUGGGCAGUUUGGCUGGGGCGGUACACCCUUGAAAAGAUAUCAAGGGUCCUCAAAGCCUAGCUUAUCAGGGUCAUAGUAGAAGAUAAGAGGAUUAUAAUGAGUGCACAUUUUUAAGGUAGCUUAUGAAUAAUCCUAAUCUUCUACUACCCUAAGGAAAUCCUGAGUUAAGUGCAAACGCAAAAGCUAGGUUGACUGGAUCCUGAAUAAUAAGGGAUCCAGGGGUGAAAAAUUCUGAACUUGAGUAAUUAUGAAGUUAGACAAUCAAGUUCAGAAUUUCAUAAGCCGGAGUUAGCGAUCCGCAGUCAGGCAUAGAUGGCUGGCUGUGGCAAGAGAAAAGCUACCUCGGGGAUAAUGGUGUCGUGGCGGGCGAGAGUUCAUAUCGACCCCGCGCGUUGCGGCGUCGUUGUUGGCUCGUCCUCUCCUGGCUGUGUAUAAGCAGCCAAGGGUGCAGGAGUCCACUGAUUAAAAGGGUACGUUAGCUGAGUUUAAACCGGCGCGAGCCAGGUUGGACUAUAUCUGCUGGGGGUGCUGCGAGUCUGAGAGGAAGGAAGGAUAAGUACGAAAGGAACAUCCUUCCGCGGCCUCUGGUGUACCGGUUGUCUGACAGGGCAUCGCCGGGUAGCUACGCCGUGUGCCGAUAAGAGCUGAAGGCAUCUAAGCUCGAAGCGGCCCUCGAAAAUAGACUCGCUGGCAGCGGGUAGACGAGCGCUUAUGAGGCAGUGGUGUAAGUACCAAGCGAAAGCGAGGUAUUCAGCCUACUGCUCUCUACGCCAAUGCCAGCCCUU